AACGAACGCUGGCGGCAGGCCUAACACAUGCAAGUCGAGCGCGCCUUUCGGGGUGAGCGGCGGACGGGUUAGUAACGCGUGGGAAUAUGCCCAAAGGUACGGAAUAGCCUCUGGAAACGGAGAGUAAUACCGUAUGUGCCCUUCGGGGAAAGAUUUAUCGCCUUUGGAUUAGCCCGCGUUAGAUUAGGUAGUUGGUGGGGUAAUGGCCUACCAAGCCUACGAUCUAUAGCUGGUUUUAGAGGAUGAUCAGCAACACUGGGACUGAGACACGGCCCAGACUCCUACGGGAGGCAGCAGUGGGGAAUCUUGGACAAUGGGGGCAACCCUGAUCCAGCCAUGCCGCGUGAGUGAAGAAGGCCCUAGGGUCGUAAAGCUCUUUCGCCUGUGAAGAUAAUGACGGUAGCAGGUAAAGAAACCCCGGCUAACUCCGUG
rnacentral:rRNA from 1 species